CAGCUCUCUGUCCCUUCCCUUCUCCAAAUGCUGCAAGAAGUGGGAUGUGAGCUCUCAAAUGUCACAGAAGCCUACAAAAUGCUGACUCCCGGAUGCCGUGCAUAACUGGGGUUGGCUCAGAACGUGGAGACAGGGCAACACCAUCAUCUGCUAAGAAUUCAUUGUUCUGCAGCUUGCCCUGGACACAAUGAGAGAGAGAGAAGUAUGGACAUUUAGACCUCAACUGGAGGCAUUGAUUGGAAGGAUUUCUCCCAGAGUUGGCCCACUCGGAAACCAGAAAAGUAUCUCUGGAAACAUACACCAACCAGUGCCAAAUGCCUGGGAGUCAGGAACAGCUCUACCUGCCAAGUCUUUCAAGUUUGAUUCGCUGCCAUCCAAAGUGAAAAUUAGGGAGCUGGCUCUCCUGAACUUUGGACUGGUGACAGAAGAAGCUAAGUGGACCCUGAAUUAGAGGUUAGAGGAGCCCAAGUUCUCUGGAACUCACUAGUCACAGGACACUGGGCAAAUCACAGAAUAUCUUGGUCUCCUCCUCAGUGAAAUGGGACAAUUGGAAAGUUAUGGAGAUAAAACAAGGUAAUGGGAACACUCAG
rnacentral:lncRNA from 1 species